AGCUCUCUCUGGUUGGCUUGGUGCCCAAGAGCACCAUGGGAAAGACCUUGGCAGUUGGGAUUCAAGUACUGACAGUUGUAACUGAUGGGCUAAGCUUGGGACUUUACUGAUGAGUCAAGUUCCUGAGGGAACAAAGCAACCAAAGUGGUGAAUCCUAAUGGCAAAGGAGAUGGACCUAAUAAAUUCUCACUCAUAUGGAUAGAAGACACAUGAACAAAUGAACAGGACAUAUUCAUGAACUGUGCUUGCUGCUGAGGGGCAGUGCAGGCUUGUGACAGACACAGCGUCCUUCAUGCUGAAGUGGCCUGAUUUACAGAGGGGCUUCACCCCCACCUGCAUAGUACAGGGCAGAAAAGAAACUCCUUUUGGCAGAGAAGAGUGGGAUAGGAGGAGGUGGCCAUGAAGCCUGAAGCAGAAAGACACAGAUACCCAGAGAGUGAAACACCACAUGUUGCUGGUGACUAGUCCUCAUGGAUCCACAGGAGAAGAGGUGACAGACAGGCUGCACUUGUCUCAAGACAACACUUCCUCUUGGAGACUCAGCCUCCUCUGAGUUAGAAGGCAGGCUUCAUGAGAGUCCCUCCUCUGGGGGACUCACGGACACAGGCAUGCCUUCUUCAGCCACACAUUUGUGAAGACGAGUGUUUGAGAAAAUCACCACGUAGCCGUCAGUUCACUUGAGAAGGCUAGCCCAGACUUGUUCAUUUGACAAGGCUAGCCCAGACUGGGAUCCAGAGAGAGUCUUUGCUGAAUGCCUGCUUCUACAGUAGGAGCACCUGUGGAAUGUCUGCACUUUAGAGCUGCCAGCCCGGUACCAUUUUUGAACUCUGCUGGGUAUGAGGGGAUGUUGACCUUGGCUGUUCGGCUAUACAGUGUCACCGAGGAGCCUUGAGUGAGGGUAUGCUAUAUAGUUCCUUAAAUUGAAGGCGCUGGCUCCCUGGAACUGCCGACCCCUUUCAUUUUCUUCUCACCUUUGUCGUUUCUCAUCCACUGCUUGUAUUCGCCUGCCAUCUUCAUGUCAGUUAUGGCUGAAUUAUAAUUGAAAGUGUGUAUAUAAUGUGCAUAAUUAUAUACACAAUUAUAGUAAGGUUAGUUUGAAAUUAUACAGUUUAUUGUGAAGUAUAAAUAUCCACCUGAAAAACUCCAUUUUUAUCUUGUGAUGUAAAGGGAUGCUUCUGUUCUGCGGAGAGAACUUUGAACAAGUCAGUGUCAGCUGACAUUUUAAAUUAACAGCUUACAGACCCUUCCAAAAACCAGGACUGCUUCUCUGGUUCUCCAGGACACCGAUUCGGCGCUUUAUGCUAGGAGAUGAAUGUAGAGAGGUCCCCUCUAGUCCCUCCAAUGGUGACAGGAAACCAGUAACACGUGUUAAGUGCCUACCAUGGUCCAGCCACUGUGAUCAUAGGAGAACAGUAAGUAUAGUUCUGUGACCAUUUCACAGAGCAAGAAACUUAGGUGUGAGAGCAGUGUGCAUGCCCACAAGCCAACCUCAUCUGGAUAAUACUUCACUGAGGCUUUCUUCCCAGCUGAUUCUAGAUUGAGUCAAAUUGACAAAACCACCACAACCAUCUUCCAGAACAUUCUUUCUUAAAGCCAUACUACUACUACUACUACUACUACUACUACUACUACUACUACUACUAUAUUGGGGCAGUGAGCAGUAAAGAUUUAUGUGUUCCAAGUGCAAAAAUACUAAUAAACUGGAGGUAAUGAGAGGUCUUGAUGUAAACAGACUAUCUUAGUUAGGGUUUCCAUUGCUGAGAAGAGGCACCAUGACCAAAGCAACUCUUAUAAAGGACAACAUUUAAUCAGGGCUGGCUUACAGGUUCAGAGGUUCAGUCCAAUAUCAUCAUAGCAAGAAGCAUGGCAGCAUGCAGGCAGGCAUGGUGCUGGUGGAGCCAAGAAUUCUUCAUCUUGAUCCACUGGCAGCAGGAAGUACUGUGUUCUACACUAGGUGGAGCUUGAGCAUGAGACCUCAAAGCUCACUUCCACAGUGCCACACCUCUAACAAGGCCACACCUCCUAAUAGGGCCACUUCUCAUGUGUCAAACAUUCAAAUGCAUGAGUCUUUGGAGGCUAAACCUAUUCAAACCACCACACAGACUAAACAUUUCCCCAAUAGUAUCCUUUUAUGUAGUAGCAAGGAUUAGAAAACAUUUUCAGCUGAAAGGAACAGUCAUGCCUAUGUUCAUAAUUAAAAAUAAAAAGGAGGCAAUGGUCUACACAGUUCUGGGACAGCCAGGGCUAUGUGGAGAGGCUGUCUCAAGAAGGCACCCCCCCCCCCAUGCACACAAAAAAAGGGCAAGGUGGACUUUUCUUUCUGGUUUGGGCUCACCACCAAGCCUGAUCUCCCAGGAGCAAAAAGUUUGUUGUCCUUGGAAGCACGCCAUCUGAUAUACAGUGUUCUCUGAGUUCCUGGGCUGUGGGUCCUGGAAGUUCUUGGUUGCAUUAGUGACUAAUUGAUAUGUUGACUUCAACCGUUUCGGCAGGAUAAAACAGAAGGCUGAUUAUUUCUGCUGAGUCAAGCCAGAAAUUUAACCACUCUUUGAUCUCUCCCUGCAAGGGAAACAACACAGUAUAGGACCUUAUCACAAUUUUAUUAUCAAAUGUAGGAUAAAUUUGAUGCUUAUUUCAUUGUAAUCUGAUAUUUGACAUUACUGUUUAUGUGGCCACAAUUCUGUUUUAUAGAUCAUUCACAAGGUAUUCAAAAUUUGGAUUGGGGGCUGGAAAGAUGACUCAACAUUUAAGAACACUGUUUAUUCUUCCAGAGGACCCAGGUUCAAUUCCCAGCACCCAUAUAGUGACCCACAACUGUUACUCUAGUUCCAGCAGAGCUGACACCCUCUUCUGGUCUCCGCAUGUACCAGGCACACAAGUGGUACUCACACGUGUAGGCAAAACAUUCAUACACAUAAAAAAAAAAAACCCAAAUAUUUAUCUGGGCAUGUUGAUACAUUUAAUCUUGAGUUCACAGCCAGUCUAGUCUACAUAUCUAGUUCUAGGCCAACCUAGGACUGCACACUAAGACCUUGGGAUUGCCAUGAGUAGGCCAGAAAAAUAUAACAGUAUGAGAGGUGGGAGAGAGAGAGAGACCCAGAGAGAGAGAGAGAGAGAAAGAGAGAGAGAGAGAGAGAGAGAGGUGGUAGAUAGCUUCCUAAAUUAGAAAAUGCUGGUUGGUUUCUCUCAUCCAAACACCAUCCCAAACCAACCAACUAAAGAAUGAAUACACAGGUCCUGCUCAGGUAGCCACACCUGCUGUAUGGCUCCAAUUUGCCAUGUCAAGUCUGAAAGCAUUGGUCUCCAUCUUCCAGCGUGCAUAACCAAUCUUCCUACCCCAGUUCUAAAUGCUCCCUGGGUUGUGUACUCAGUACUCUAUACCCUGUUAUGACUCUGUAUUGACUAGUCUCUCUCUCUCUCUCUCUCACACACACACACACAAUCUUCUGUUGAAGGUUGAUAGAAGCCCUAGUCUAAGGGCAUCCAUAAACAUUUAGAAGGCAGUCUGACUACACGUCUGUUUAGCAAAAAUCCAUUAAUACAUUUUACUUGAAAAUGCAUUAAUACAGAACACAUAAAAAUAUACUAGUGCAAAGAUAUAGCAAUCCUUUUCCUCUCUAAGAGCUGUGUCUCUCCAGCUAUAAGCUUUGGCCCAGUUACACAGUGCCGGACACGAAUGCCUUCCCAUGGAGCAGGCCUCAGAAGCAACCAGAAAGUGAUAGUUUUCCCACCCAGCAGUCUUGCCACAUUGCAACUGUGACCGUAUCUCACCUGGAAGGUCAGUAUUUGUCUUGGUUGUUUCUCUAUUGUGGUGAGACACAUGACCAAGGCCACUUAUAAAAGAAAGCCUUUACUCUGGGGCUAGCUUACCAUCUUAGAGGGUGAGUCCACGGCCAGCAUGAUGGUAAGCAUGGCGGCAGACAACUUGGCCCGUGAGCAGCAGCUGAGAGCUUACAUCUUGACCCAUAAAUUGGAGGUAGAGAGCAAGAGAGACUGGGCCUUGUGUGGGAUUUUGCCCUCCCUCCCUCCCCACCAGUGAUACACCUCCAACAAGGCCACACAGUUUCUAAUCCUUUCUAAACAGUCUACCAACUGGGGACCAAGUCAUCCAUAUACACGAGAGCCAUUCUCAUUAAACUCCCCACAGGUAUUGUAGCACUCAGGGUGCAUGCAUUUUUCACCAGCUGGCUGCCCAGGGCUUUCCCACACUGUGGAAUCUGGCCAGCAGGGAGUAGAAGUCCAGCUCCAUUCUUCUGUGUGUGGUGUCUUCAGCAUCUGGCAGGCAGGCAGGAGCAACGGCAAUAGCCUGUACUGCUAGGGAGACAUCUGGGCCUGCCUGGGGCAUUCUUUACAAGUGAUAAAUGUGAAGUACGCAUUAAAAUAGCAUAGGUGUUUUAAUGUUUCUAGUGGUGCUGGAGACACAGAGUAUGCUGAGGGGCCAGUGCAGGCUUCCUGUCUAAAGACCACAUCAAAGAUCUUCCUCCACAGAGCCUCAGGUGUUGAGUGGAGCAAUGUUAGUCAUCAGAGUUGUGACCAUAUUGUGGGAUUUGUUUCUAGCAUUUUUGUUUUAUCAUUUACAACAAAACAAAAGAGGACCCCUCCAGUGUCUCUGCAUUUGGAAAGAUUAGACUUGCAACAGCAGGUUUUCCCACAAUGGUGACUAAAGCGGGACCCUACCCCCACCCCAGCUUGAGUUAUUUAUAUUCAUUAAAAUGUGGGCAGUGGCCGGGCAGCUUUCCCAUCCUGGUCAUGGUGGCAGGGCUUCUCUCCUGUGUGGAGGUGCUGGUGUGUGCUGCUGUCUGUUGACUAAGGCUCUUCUAUGUUCCCAGAGACUCUCUCUCUCGAGUGGAGAUGUCCGGGUGAGCUGGGUCUGGUGUGGCCUCUCAUAUUUGGUGCCCUGAGCAGGAAUUCUUCCUGGUGUGCAUUUCCCUGAUGUUCUUUUCUCACCAAGAAAUAAAUGAAGGCUUGUCAAUCCCAGAUGCAAGUUUCAGAGCAUUCUGCCCUCAAGCCCAGAGGCCACCCAUCAGACACUCGUGUAUGUGGCUGAUGAGGGAACACCGGCUGUGCUCAGAAAUAAGUGCAUGCACAUACCAGGCUCAGGGUGUCAAGGAUACGAUGGCAGUGAUGGCAAAAGCUUCACAAGCACUUCUCCCUCCACGCAUCUCUGCCUGAAUUCCUUCUCUGUUUCACACAGAACUUCCAGCUCUAGGCCCUGCAGCAUGCAUGCCCGUGGAGGCUACUUCGUCUUUGCUUUAUGACAUAGGCAUAGUCAGAAACCCACUUCGUCCUGGUGUACUUAGCAAAGCAACACACUUAUCUCAAAGCAUGGUUUAGGCCAGCACAAGAGCCUUGAACAUAUCGUACAAAGGAAGACAGUUUAAAUCUUGUUAGCUUCAGGAUAAGUGUGCCUGUGAUUAUUCACACUCCCAACACAAGAGUCAACUUUUCACUGCAUGUAGGUGAUGCUUCAACACACUGAAUAAGACCAUAGUUAUACAUAAACGCUACACAAUUCUAAAAUAUGUAUCUAGACUUCAAUAAAAAAUAUUUU